UACAGAGGGUGCGAGCGUUGUUCGGAAUUACUGGGCGUAAAGCGUGCGUAGGCGGCGAUGAAAGUUAGAAGUGAAAGCCCAGGGCUCAACCUUGGAAUUGCUUUUAAAACUCCAUCGCUCGAAUCUCGGAGAGGAUAGCGGAAUUGUCAGUGUAGCAGUGAAAUGCGUAGAUAUUGACAGGAACACCAGUGGCGUAAGCGGCUAUCUGGACGAGUAUUGACGCUGAGGCACGAAAGCGUGGGGAUCAAACAGG
rnacentral:rRNA from 1 species